rnacentral:lncRNA from 1 species
GUCAGCCCACCAGGAAAACAAAUAGAAAAUCACCGAGGAGGAAGAGGAAGCAGCAAAGAAACAGAGCACUAAGCAUCCCCCGCGGAGCCAGACGGGUGGGUAUGUUGUCUCUAGCUAUACCUUCUUUCCUAGCAUUGCUUUUCUUUCUUCUGCGAUUGUAGCACCACAGUGUGUGUACCCGUGUAAGGGGUUACUUUGCCGCACAAAGCGUGUGCCGCACACGAUGAACGUACGCUCACGUGUCUGUUGCACGCCCAUCGCUAAAUGACGGCUUGCGCCUUGUGCUCUUAUGUCAGCUUUCUGGUGGCCGCAGGAGGCCUGGUAACUAGUGGCCCAGCGCCAAGACCACCAGCCACAGCUCAGGCUGCGUUGCGCCGUCUGGCUUGUGUAGUGCACAAGCAGGACGUGGCAUUAGUUGGCCUCGUGGGUUUCUGAGCUGGUGCUGGGAGCACUAAAGCCGGAUUUACUGCGUCGCUGAACUACGCAAAGCCUGAAAGAGCGUGUGGUGCGUUUUGAAUUGCUGACAGACUUGGAUGUAGGGAAUGACUUGUAAGAAACUAGCGCAAUAGCGGGCGUUGUGUUCCCUUACAGUCCUCUUGGGCUGGUUAUACUUUGUCCUCCGAGAUCACCGGGGACACCCGCCCACUGCUAGGGAGCUGCACCUUGGCUCCUCUUAUUUGGGAGUCUGUACUUGUCGUUCAAAAUAAAGAUAAGCCAAACAAAAGGCUUCAUUAAGCAAAAAAUGGUUGCUUUUGCAAACUGAGGGCAGAUAUUGUAAGAUGCCGCAAAGUAGUAUAAAAGGGUUAAAAAAGUCAACCCUUUUUUAAAGGAGUGGCCAAAUUGGGGAGAUGUAUGUUAUGUCUGGACAUGCUCAGGGCCUUAUUCUUCUACUUUGUCUGCAGGCAACGUGCCCAUCAAAAUUAUCUCCUGGGCUGAGCACAAAGAGGAAGAGCCAACAACUUAUUAAGGAGUCUCUGUUAUUUCUGCUGAGAAAGGUAGUGGUGCUUUUCCUUUUGUUGGAAUGUUUCUCAGGCAGUUCUCUUCCGAAGGCAUUCACUAGAGUGAAUUAGAAGGCACUCAGAUACCGUGGUACCUGGCUCAGCAGUCCUGAAGACAGACUAUGAUUCAGUGGGAUUAACCAGCAACAUGUACCAUUUUAGUUCAAGUGAAUAAAUGAUAAAGCCUCACAAACUAAAAGCUUAAA